rnacentral:rRNA from 1 species
GGGUUGUGAGGUUAAGCGACUAAGCGUACACGGUGGAUGCCAUGGCAGUCAGAGGCGAUGAAGGACGUGCUAAUCUGCGAAAAGCGUCGGUAAGGUGAUAUGAACCGUUAUAACCGGCGAUGUCCGAAUGGGGAAACCCAGUGCAAUUCGUUGCACUAUCGUUAACUGAAUACAUAGGUUAACGAGGCGAACCGGGGGAACUGAAACAUCUAAGUACCCCGAGGAAAAGAAAUCAACCGAGAUUCCCCCAGUAGCGGCGAGCGAACGGGGAGCAGCCCAGAGUCUGAAUCAGCUUUGUGUUAGUGGAACGGUCUGGAAAGUCCGACGGUACAGGGUGAUAGUCCCGUACACCAAAAUGCACAGGCUGUGAACUCGAAGAGUAGGGCGGGACACGUGGUAUCCUGUCUGAAUAUGGGGGGACCAUCCUCCAAGGCUAAAUACUCCUGACUGACCGAUAGUGAACCAGUACCGUGAGGAAAGGCGAAAAGAACCCCGGCGAGGGAGUGAAAAGAACCUGAAACCGUGUACGUACAAGCAGUGGGAGCACCUUCGGGUGUGACUGCGUACCUUUGUAUAAUGGGUCAGCGACUUAUAUUCUGUAGCAAGGUUAACCGUAUAGGGAGCCGCAGGAAACCGAGUCUUAACUGGGCGUUAAGUUGCAGGGUAUAGACCCGAAACCCGGUGAUCUAGCCAUGGGCAGGUUGAAGGUUGGGUAACACUAACUGGAGGACCGAACCGACUAAUGUUGAAAAAUUAGCGGAUGACUUGUGGCUGGGGGUGAAAGGCCAAUCAAACCGGGAGAUAGCUGGUUCUCCCCGAAAGCUAUUUAGGUAGCGCCUCGUGAAUUCAUCUUCGGGGGUAGAGCACUGUUUCGGCUAGGGGGUCAUCCCGACUUACCAACCCGAUGCAAACUACGAAUACCGAAGAAUGUUAUCACGGGAGACACGGCGGGUGCUAACGUCCGUCGUGAAGAGGGAAACAACCCAGACCGCCAGCUAAGGUCCCAAAGUCAUGGUUAAGUGGGAAACGAUGUGGGAAGGCACAGACAGCCAGGAUGUUGGCUUAGAAGCAGCCAUCAUUUAAAGAAAGCGUAAUAGCUCACUGGUCGAGUCGGCCUGCGCGGAAGAUGUAACGGGGCUAAACCAUGCACCGAAGCUGCGGCAGCGACACUAUGUGUUGUUGGGUAGGGGAGCGUUCUGUAAGCCUGCGAAGGUGGCCUGUGAGGGUUGCUGGAGGUAUCAGAAGUGCGAAUGCUGACAUAAGUAACGAUAAAGCGGGUGAAAAGCCCGCUCGCCGGAAGACCAAGGGUUCCUGUCCAACGUUAAUCGGGGCAGGGUGAGUCGACCCUAAGGCGAGGCCGAAAGGCGUAGUCGAUGGGAACAGGUUAAUAUUCCUGUACUUGGUGUUACUGCGAAGGGGGACGGAGAAGGCUAUGUUAGCCGGGCGACGGUUGUCCCGGUUUAAGCAUGUAGGCGGAGGUUCGGUAAAUCCGGUACCUUUAACGCUGAGGUGUGAUGACGAGGCACUACGGUGCUGAAGUAACAAAUGCCCUGCUUCCGGAAAAGCCUCUAAGCAUCAGGUAACAUUAAAUCGUACCCCAAACCGACACAGGUGGUCAGGUAGAGAAUACCAAGGCGCUUGAGAGAACUCGGGUGAAGGAACUAGGCAAAAUGGUGCCGUAACUUCGGGAGAAGGCACGCUGGUGUGUAGGUGAAGUCCCUGCGGACGGAGCUGAGACCAGUCGAAGAUACCAGCUGGCUGCAACUGUUUAUUAAAAACACAGCACUGUGCAAACACGAAAGUGGACGUAUACGGUGUGACGCCUGCCCGGUGCCGGAAGGUUAAUUGAUGGGGUUAUCCGUAAGGAGAAGCUCUUGAUCGAAGCCCCGGUAAACGGCGGCCGUAACUAUAACGGUCCUAAGGUAGCGAAAUUCCUUGUCGGGUAAGUUCCGACCUGCACGAAUGGCGUAAUGAUGGCCUGUCUCCACCCGAGACUCAGUGAAAUUGAACUCGCUGUGAAGAUGCAGUGUACCCGCGGCAAGACGGAAAGACCCGUGAACCUUUACUAUAGCUUGACACUGAACAUUGAGCCUUGAUGUGUAGGAUAGGUGGAGGCUUUGAAGCGUGGACGCCAG